GAAUAAUGUGGAGAUAGCCUACCUGCUGCUACUGUCUGAGAUCUUUUUGGUAGCUACGGAUCCACUGAAGAGAAUGAUAAAAUAAGAAGGAGAAAUAUGCAGGGAAAAAAAAAUAAAAGCUUUAUAUCAAUGUAGGGGCCCUAUCAGAUCCCGUGGGAGGAUUUUGUAUUUUUUUGUAAUUAGAAGAGGCUACAAAACAAUGAUGACAACUGAAGGGAUUUAAAUGUGAGUGAUGAAACAACUGUUUCCACCAAUGAAUAUCUGGAAAGGAGCAAAGCGAUUAUCUGAUUGUCCCAGGGAAAUGAAGCUGAGGUGCUAGAGGGCAGCAGUCAUAUCCACCAACAUGCCUGACAGGAAAACAUAAUGCAGACUUAAUGCCCCCUCGAAGAUGCAUGAAAAGGUGUUUCCCUCCAGUGCUUCAGCAACUCCUCCUAUGAGAGAUGAGCAAGCAAAGAACUUCAGCCAAAACAGCUCCAUCAAGCUGCAGAGACCAAGAUGACUACUGAGCCCUGUUCCUCUGGAAGCUGCACCUUCCUGUGGGCUCUGCACCCUUUCUGAACCUGCUGGCGAUGUUAUCUCCUCUGUCACCAGAACUGUUGUCCUUUCAUCAGCUGCACCAGGAUCUGUAACAUCAGGAUCUGCUAUUAUGCAGAAAACCAGCUUGUGGCCUAUAGACAUGAGCAGCUCAGGGCCUUUACAAGCUGGGAAAGUCACCUUGUGUUCAACCAAUACUGGGUGUAUCCUGCUUCAGCUAUUGUCAGCGAGCCAGCAUUUCAUCACUCGGCACAAUUGCAGUCACAUAAUGGAGGCAGGAACUGCUGAAAUAAAGCAACACCGAGAGCUUGUCAGAAAUGUAAAUGACAUUGCACCUAUUGUCAGCGAUGUAUACUCCAUUGUUCUCACAAUUGUUUUCCAGUUGAAAAAAUGUUGGUGAGCUUGCAUGAUGAGACCAGUCUAAGCGCUGCUUACUGCAACAUGCUUCAUCAAGAAGAGCUAACUGAUCUCGUGAUACAGGCAGCACAUGUGUAUGGCAAGGUGGUGCUUCUGCAAAGUGGUGGCUGCACCAGUUUCUCCUGGAUGUGUCAGCAUUGUGGGGAAUGCUGAAAAUGCACACUACUGUGGGAAAAGUAUCUGCUACUGACCUAUGCUGAAAGCAAAUACAUGAGAGUGUCUCACUAGAUUUUGUCCUGAAAGAGAAGGAUUCUUCUUCUUGAGAGGGAGGAAGAGCAUGAGAUCAGAUGGGAGGCAAGCAGAAAAGGCUAGCUACAGUAAGUUUACAAGGUAUUUAUGGGGGUGCAGGUUUUUUUUUUUUUUUUUUUAAUCUGUCCUUUCUUUAGAAAGGAAACCUUAGAAGUUUUUUAGAAAUUGAAAGUAAGUAUGCAGAUGUGUAGAUGUGUUAUCUUUUACACCUGUGCUACUCUCGGAUACCCCGUUGUCUUUCAGAACAUUUCAGUAUUCAACAUAAGCAUCUUCUGUGACACUCGGAACCCCAGACCUGUGGGGCUUACUCAUGAGCACGGGGCUCACUUGUGAAUGGAUUUUGUCAGACUUUACCACAGAAGAACUAAUUCAGAAUUUUCUUUGUGGGUACUUUGAGAUGUUGGAAAUACCUAUGCUGAAUGUGGGAGUAAAUUAAGGUACCUUAAUUUACUGAAUACAUUUUAGAGAGGGAUUACAAGAGUUCUUUAUGGAAAGGUAGGUGUUUUGACCUUUUGUCAACGACUUCUAACAACUCAAUUUCUAGAUGUAAAAUUGAUUUACAAAGAAAGGUGAAGAUUUCAUCACAGAAAGGACAGAUCUGAUUGGUUUAACAAAUAUAAAUAUCUUAAAAAACUUUUUGUCUUAAAAAUUUAGAGAUUCUUGAGUGCCAGUCUUUUCCCACAAGCAGUUGCUCCUUUGAUGAGUCCUUUCUUUCUUACAAAAAAAAAAAAAAAAACGUUUUGUCAGGAAAUGUCCAAUCUGCUGUACCCUCAAACACUUCUCCUGUGCACAUGUGCGUGAGGCACUCAGUCAGGAGGUCACAGAGAAGAGGAUGAGUUGUUGCACCUUGGUGUUUUUUCUUUUGGCCAGUGACUUGUAAUAAAAAGAGUAAAGGAAAGUUGGCAAAGUGAGGGAAGAGAAUUUCUCAGCUGCUCUUCUUCCUUUUACGCUCAUACAUACAAUAUGAGGGAAAAAAAUGAAGCCACUUUUUAAUAUCACUUUCCCUUAAUAUUCUCCUCACAAUUCCUUCCGAGAUUUCUUUAAUGCCUUCUCUUUUCUGGUUAGUAUAUCAGUGAAUCUCAGAAAAUGUAAUUCUAGCUAUUUCAUUAGGACAACA
ensembl:lncRNA